GCCCGGCUGAGAGUCAAUAUUCUUCAUACCAAAGUGAAAACAUGAGAUCCAACUCUGAGUUCACCCUGUU
rnacentral:snoRNA from 1 species